rnacentral:rRNA from 1 species
GACAGAGGGGGCAAGCGUUGCUCGGAAUUAUUGGGCGUAAAGGGUGCGUAGGCGGUUUGGUAAGUCUUAUGUGAAAUCUACAGGCUCAACUUGUAGUCUGCAUGAGAAACUGCCGGGCUUGAGUAUGGGAGAGGUGAGUGGAAUUCCUGGUGUAGCGGUGAAAUGCGUAGAUAUCAGGAGGAACACCUGUGGCGAAAGCGGCUCACUGGACCAUAACUGACGCUGAUGCACGAAAGCUAGGGGAGCAAACAGG